CAUUCGGUGACAGCUGCCUGGACUACUUUCACAAUUCAAGCUUUAGGUAUGGUACAACAGGAGUGAGAGCCUACUGGGUGUCUUUUGUCUUGCAAACCACCUGCCUCCCAUUAGCUCAUAACAAACAUAUUUCCAGAAAGGCUAAGGAUUGUUGACUUAUUACAUCAUAUACAUGUGGACACAUGUGCAUGCACUCUGUGUAUGUGUAUAUGUGUGUGUGUGUUUUUAUGUUUGAAAAGUUGGAGAGAGGUGAAGAUGAGAUGAGAAGGUGAUGUUGAUGAAACUAGAAAGGUACCAAUGUCCAAUCAAGACAGGAAUAGACCAGCAGCUUCCCUGAGCCUUUUCAUCAGCCUACAACAAUCAGAUCUUUGGAAAGAUCCUAAAGUCUUUUUCAUAACCUAACCUAGAUGAAGAGAGGAAAUGAAAAGACAAACAGUAAGAAAGCAGAAUUUCUUCUCCAACCCCCCAAAGUCUAUUGAUGUAAAAAAGAGAUUGCCCAAGUGCUGGUAGAAGGAGGAAGAAAAUGGCUGUGUAUUUGCCAUAAACCAACCCAGAGUAAAAAAUGGAAAUCUAUUUGAAGGGACCAAAAAUGAAGUAUUCCAAAACACAACUGAAGAGAUCGUUUGUAUGGAAGCUGGGACUAGCAAACCUAGGCAAGGCACCCACGUAUAAAUAUGGCCUUUACUCACUCAUUUCAACUGCUUUUUCAACACAUAAAUCAUCAUGAUGAAAUUGGUAGUAUCUUUGGAAGGGUAUGUCAAUGCUUGGUCUUUAGGGGGGUAGGCGAGAAAGUGAUUAAGUUCCUCUGUCUCUUGGAGAAUAGUAGAGCAGAGGAGGCCAAAAGAAACAGGAUUGGAAGGC